GUUGAACGCUGGCGGUGCGUUUAAUACAUGCAAGUCGAACGAGAUCUUUGAAGAGUUUACUUUUAAAGUGACAGUGGCGGACGAGCGAGUAACACGUAAGUAGUUGCCUUGUACUCGGGGACAACCAGUCGAAAGAUUGGCUAAUACCGGAUGGUCUCGAAAGAGUAAAGAUUUAUCGGUACAAGAGACGCUUGCGGCCUAUCAGCUAGUUGGUGAGGUAAAGGCUUACCAAGGCUAUGACGGGUACCUGGUGUGAGAGCAUGACCAGGCGCGAUGGGACUGAGACACGGCCCAU
rnacentral:rRNA from 1 species